UACAGGGGGGGCAAGCGUUGUUCGGAAUUACUGGGCGUAAAGGGCUCGUAGGUGGCCAACUAAGUCGGACGUGAAAUCCCUCAGCUUAACUGGGGAACUGCAUCCGAUACUGGAUGGCUUGAGUUUGGGAGAGGGAUGCGGAAUUCCAGGUGUAGCGGUGAAAUGCGCAGAUAUCAGGAGGAACACCGAUGGCGAAGGCAGGUCUCUGGGCCGAUACUGACGCUGAGGAGCGAAAGCGUGGGGAGCGAACAGG
rnacentral:rRNA from 1 species